AUGGCUCCUAAGAAAGUCACGGUCCGUCCCGGCUCAGCCCCUGUUGCAAAACGGCCUAUCAGAGGUCCAUCGCAGGCGCUUCGCUCUCCCACCCUGAGUCAACCGGCAGGACGAGUGCAAUCGAUGGUGGACAGUAUGGCGGGCGAUCCAGUAGCCUUAUCUCGCUUCACAGCCGAAAUGGAUGGUUUCCUUCAACAGUGUUCUGCUCAGCCUUCCGCGUCUAGAAGGCGUCAGCGUCCAGUCAUGGCGCCAUCCCCAGCGUCACCGUCGUCUAGUGACGAGGAGAGAGAUGGCUCAUCACCCGGGGGUUUGAUGAUUGAUUCUCAGAUAGCACAUCCCUGCGACUUACCUGCUGCCCGUGGCCGUUCUCGGAGGCCAUGCCGUUCCUCUGGGAGGGCGGCGAGGGGGAAAACCCCUUUGGUAGCUUCCACCCGCCGGGCUGCGCUCACUCAGCCUUCGGAUGAGGUGGCCUCAGGUUCCGGGAUCUCACCUGUUGUUUCUCCUCGCUUAGCUUCAGGUGCGUCACAGCUGAGCCCUGAUUACGGGUCUUCCAUGGAUGACAGUCUAUCAAUUCCUGCCAGGGAGUCUUCGGGCGGUAAACGUCGCUCCAGGAGGUCCUCACUGAAGCGUGUCAGCCAGAGGAGGAGCGGAUCAUCAUCUUCUUAUACUGCCCCAGGUCCUUCUCGGCAGGAUCCUGAUUCCGAGUCCUCCAUUGAAGACAGCUUGCCAGUGCCUCCCAGACGGUCGUCAGGUGGAAAGCGUCGCCGCAGGAGAUCUUCGCGGAGGCGCGCAAAACGGAGAAGGGACGACUCGUCGUCCUCUUAUACCGGUCAGGCGGCUGUCCGAGUGUGGAUGGUGGGGCACAGCAUCGUACAUUGGGCUGGUGUCGCAGCACGUCGGGCAGGUGUGUGUCCAGAGCUUGGCCUUCCUCCGCAUGUUCAGUUGUCCUGGCUGUCCAGACGAGGAAUGCUUUGGUCGGAGCUCCUGCCGCGGAUCCGGAGCCAGUUGCUCCGGGAGGGGCCGCCAGCGGCUAUCGUAAUACAGCUGGGAGAGAACGACCUGGUCGAUAUGGGCUGUGCUUCACUGCGUGCUGCUAUUUGGACGGACUUGGGGACAUUGCGGGCAAUGGUGCCUACAGCAAUGAUAUUUUGGUCGCAGCUUUUGCAACGACGUGUGUGGAGGGGCAGUCGUUGCCCAGUCGCCACAGAAAGGGCCAGGAAGCGCAUCAAUUCUGCGGUGACACACCGGAUGGCUGAGCUGGGGGUGAAGUGAUCUCUCACCCUGCGAUUCUUUUUAAGAUGCCAUCCUUUUUCCGAGAUGAUGGCGUGCACCUUUCUGCUUCAGGGAAUGAGGCUUGGUUAGGUGCGGUGGCUGCCAAGUUGAGGUCUUGGCUGGGGCUGUGAGUGGUUUGGCGGCGAGCUGGAGGCUCCAUGGCGGUUAGGCAUUGGUUAAUUGGGGCUUGGAGGGGUAAGUGCCUACCCCUCCAAAUGAUGCGAUAAGGGAAUUCCGUUAAAGGAAUCCAGGGGCUUGCCAUUCUUUCGUCCUUGUCCGUGGAGCCGGACUUGGGCCGUGCAAGCCCCACCGGAACAUGAGGGUGAGAAGCGAGGGCCAGUUUCCCGGCCUCACUUCUCAUCCAAUACUUGUUUCCCACGCUGGCUUCCGGUGGAGUCCGGAAGGGCCAGCACUGUCCUUGAGGGCUAGGACAGAUAGUCAAACCAAUGCCUAAGCAACCACUCACAAUUUUUUGUAUUUUAAAUAAAGUUGUGGCCAAAAAUUUAUGCCAAAAACCUUAAACAAAAAUUGACGUGUGAAGUGUGUAAUUAUUUGGGGGGUGGCAC
rnacentral:lncRNA from 1 species